CCCUUAGAUGUUCUGGGCCGCACGCGCGCUACACUGACGAUGUCAACGAGUCUCUCCUUGGCCGAAAGGUCUGGGUAAUCUUCUGAAACAUCGUCGUGCUGGGGAUAGAUCAUUGCAAUUUUUGAUCUUGAACGAGGAAUUCCUAGUAAGCGCGAGUCAUCAGCUCGCGUUGAUUGCGUCCCUGCCCUUUGUACACACCGCCCGUCGCUACUACCGAUUGAAUGGUUUAGUGAGGACUCCUGAUUGGCGCCGCCGCCCCGGCAACGGAGCAGUGGACUGCCGAAAAGUUGUUCAAACUUGAUCAUUUAGAGGAAGUAAAAGUCGUAACA
rnacentral:rRNA from 1 species